rnacentral:lncRNA from 1 species
CUUGAGUCUGUCAUGGCAGGUCCUGAAGUGAGGCCAGUGUGUCCAGUGUGUGCUUCAUGCCAUUAACAAAACUCGUCCUUGUCGUUAGAGAGGAGGCCCAGCCUCGUGAUGAGGAAUAGCAAGGAGAGAAUUCAGCUCCAGUUCAAAAGCCUACAAAAUCUGAGACUGUCACUGCUCGUGUAAGUUUUCUCUCUGAGCGACCAUAACCUAUCGGCUGAAAUUUCCGGCAUCCCUGGGGGAGAGGAGGCCAUCAGGGCAGACCUGCUAUGGACCUGAAAGAUUCAGCCCCAGGAUUCCAGCUUUCCCUCCUGGCCAGAAAUGUUCAGCCUGGACUCAUUCAGAAAAGCCGGGGAUUGAUUUGUUCGAGAGGCUUUUCAUCAGGAGUGACGUUGUUAGCAUUCAGUCUCAUGGGAGCCAACAUAGCCUCACUGUGCAAAAAUUCUGGAGCCAGAUGCCUGGUUCACAUCACACUUCUGCACCCUUGCUGACCAAGGCUGGAGGCAGGUGACUGGGCCGCUGUGCC